GCGGAUGUAGCCAAGUGGCUUACGGCAGU
rnacentral:tRNA from 1 species